GACGAACGCUGGCGGCGUGCUUAACACAUGCAAGUCGAACGGAAAGGCCCUGCUUUUGUGGGGUGCUCGAGUGGCGAACGGGUGAGUAACACGUGAGUAACCUGCCCCUGACUUUGGGAUAACUUCAGGAAACUGGGGCUAAUACCGGAUAGGAGCUCCUGCUGCAUGGUGGGGGUUGGAAAGUUUCGGCGGUUGGGGAUGGACUCGCGGCUUAUCAGCUUGUUGGUGUGGUAGUGGCUUACCAAGGCUUUGACGGGUAGCCGGCCUGAGAGGGUGGCCGGCCACAUUGGGACUGAGAUACGGACCAGACGCCUACGGGAGGCAGCAGUGGGGAAUAUUGCACAAUGGGCGGAAGCCUGAUGCAGCAACGCCGCGUGCGGGAUGACGGCCUUCGGGUUGUAAACCGCUUUCGCCUGUGACGAAGCGUGAGUGACGGUAAUGGGUAAAGAAGCACCGGCUAACUACGUG
rnacentral:rRNA from 1 species